CAAUAGCGUAUAUUUAAGUUGCUGCAGUUAAAAAGCUCGUAGUUGGAUUUCGGGUGGGAAUGGCCGGUCCGCCGUUUCGGUGUGCACUUGCUACGCCCACCUUGCUGCCGGGGACGUGCUCUUGAGUUCACGCUCGGGACACGGAGUCGGCGAGGUUACUUUGAGUAAAUUAGAGUGUUCAAAGCAGGCCUACGCUCUGAAUACAUUAGCAUGGAAUAACACGAUAGGACUCUGUCCUAUCUUGUUGGUCUGUAGGACCGGAGUAAUGAUUAAGAGGGACAGUCGGGGGCAUUCGUAUUUCAUUGUCAGAGGUGAAAUUCUUGGAUUUAUGAAAGACGAACUACUGCGAAAGCAUUUGCCAAGGAUGUUUUCAUUAA
rnacentral:rRNA from 1 species